rnacentral:rRNA from 1 species
AGUGAACGCUGGCGGUAGGCCUAACACAUGCAAGUCGAACGGCAGCACAGUAAGAGCUUGUGGUUACGGCUGGCGAGGGGUGGAUGGGGGAGGAAUAUAUCGCUAUCUACUUUUUCGAGGGUGAUAAAGUAGGGGCACUUACGCCAAUACCGCAGACGACGUACGGGUGAAAGCAGGGGAUCUCCGGAUCUCGCGUGAUUGUAUGAGGCGAUGUCGGAUUAGCUAGUUGGCGGGGUAAAGGCCCACCAAGGCGACGAUCCGUAGCUGGUCUGAGAGGAUGAUCAGCCACACUGGAACUGAGACACGGUCCAGACUCCUACGGGAGGCAGCAGUGGGGAAUAUUGGACAAUGGGCGAAAGCCUGAUCCAGCCAUACCGCGUGGGUGAAGAAGGCCUUCGGGUUGUAAAGCCCUUUUGUUGGGAAAGAAGAGCAGCAGGUUAAUACCUCGCUGUUCUGACGGUACCAACAGAAUAAGCACCGGCUAACUUCGUG